rnacentral:piRNA from 1 species
UAAUUGCUGGAAUAAAGGCUCUGCACC